CCUACGGGUGGCAGCAGUGAGGAAUAUUGGGCAAUGGGCGCGAGCCUGAACCAGCCAAGUAGCGUGAAGGAUGACUGCCCUACGGGUUGUAAACUUCUUUUAUAAGGGAAUAAAGUGAGGCACGUGUGCCUUUUUGUAUGUACGUUAUGAAUAAGGAUCGGCUAACUCCGUGCCAGCAGCCGCGGUAAGACGGAGGGUCCGAGCGUUAAUCGGAUUUAUUGGGUUUAAAGGGAGCGUAGAUGGGUUGUUAAGUCAGGUGUGAAAGUUUGGGGCUCAACCGUAAAAUUGCAAUUGAUACUGGCAGUCUUGAGUACAGGUGAGGUUGGCGGAAUUCGUGGUGUAGCGGUGAAAUGCGUAGAUAUCACGAAGAACUCCGAUUGCGAAGGCAGCUGACU
rnacentral:rRNA from 1 species